rnacentral:rRNA from 1 species
CCUACGGGAGGCAGCAGUGAGGAAUAUUGGUCAAUGGGCGAGAGCCUGAACCAGCCAAGUCGCGUGAGGGAGUACUGCCCUAUGGGUUGUAAACCUCUUUUGUCGGGGAGCAAAAGCCGGACGUGUCCGGCUGUGAGAGUACCCGAAGAAAAAGCAUCGGCUAACUCCGUGCCAGCAGCCGCGGUAAUACGGAGGAUGCCAGCGUUAUCCGGAUUUAUUGGGUUUAAAGGGGGCCCAGGCGGAUUUUUAAGUCAGCGGGAAAAUCGUGGGGCUAAACCCCAUCCAGCCGUUGAAACUGGGGAUCUAGAGUGUGCGAGAGGUAUGCGGAAUGCGUGGUGUAGCGGUGAAAUGCAUAGAUAUCACGCAGAACCCCGAUUGCGAAGGCAGCAUACCGGUGCACAACUGACGCUCAGGCACGAAAGCGUGGGUAUCGAACAGGAUUAGAUACCCCUGUAGUC